rnacentral:ncRNA from 1 species
CAUAGUAGCUGUUCGGUGAACCACCGGACAACGCAGUGGAGAAGGGGAUCUAUGCGCGCCUAGCCAAGUGUGGAGAGGAUAACUGCUGAAAGCAUAUAAGUAGUAAGCCCACCCCAAGAUGAGUGCUCUCUCCUCCGACUUCCCUAGAGCCUCCGGUAGCACAGCCGAGACAACGACGGGUUCUCCACCCAUACGGGGAUGGAGCGACAGAAGUAUGGAAAUAGGAUAAGGUAGCGGCGAGACGAGCCGUUUAAAUAGGUGUCAAGUGGAAGUGCAGUGAUGUAUGCAGCUGAGGCAUCCUAACGAACGAA